UGGAUGGUUGCUCUCUGGUCGUACUUGAGCCCCCUGGACCAUGUCUGCAAAUGCUUCUGAACAUUGACAGAAUUUCUAAAGGAUCGCUGAGGACUCCCCCUCCAUGCGUGACAUCUUUGAGAAAUUUCCACGCUUUCUGGAGAUGCCAAGUUUGACUGGAACCAACUUUGCAUCCCUCGGCACUGACACUGAGAAGGUUUCAAGGACCCCACUACUAGGAGGCGAGAGUUUGACACAGCAUUGUCAUCACUGCCAUGGAUGACAACGUAAUCAUUCCUGUUGCUGAUUGCCUGACUUGCGCAGUGACAAGCUUUUCAUGCUCUACUGGGUGUGUAACUUGGCAUAUCCACCACAGUUUAACUCUGUUUUUGCCUCUUUUGAAUAUGUGUACGAUAUAACCAUCUCAACCAACAAGUGGGCCAAGGUACUGGAACAUUUCUCACUUCAAGUUGCUCUGUAGUCACUGGACAUUUUUUUAAACAUCUACGCAGACACCACCACUCCACACCAUGUGUAUUUUAAUUACUUCUGAUUCCACUGACAUGCAGACUACAUCCUAUGCAAAUUCAGGUAAUUUACCUGGUACUGGAGAAACAGCAUUGUAUGCCAUUCUAAGUGAUACUUGCCUCGUUGUUUUGCAAAAAUGUACUGUUCUUGUGUUGUCAAGUACAACCUUAACGUUUUGUAAGUAAGUAAUAGUCACAGGAUAUGCAUGCAUUUGUAAUUUGAAUUUUCGUUGAAAACGGCUCACCAAGCAUAAAAUGUUACCUCUGCUUUUGAUUUUUCUUUUUUUUUUAAAUGUCCCUUAAUACCAGCCUGUCUUUUUGUUGUGUCCACACAACUUUACCAUCAUCAGUGUUGGGAAGGAACAGAUUGCUGUAAGUUACUGUAUCCCCAUCCUUUCAGAUCAGUGCUUUAAAGCCUUUUGAAAUUAAAUUGUUAAUAAACUUUGUGAAAACAAA